rnacentral:tRNA from 1 species
GGGGCUGUGGCUCAGUGGUAGAGCAUCUCCUUAGGAUGCAGAAGGUCCCAGGUUCAAUCCCUAACAUUUUUA